rnacentral:rRNA from 1 species
GACGAACGCUGGCGGCGUGCUUACACAUGCAAGUCGAACGGAAAGGCCCUGCUUUUGUGGGGUGCUCGAGUGGCGAACGGGUGAGUAACACGUGAGUAACCUGCCCUUGACUUUGGGAUAACUUCAGGAAACUGGGGCUAAUACCGGAUAGGAGCUCCUGCUGCUUGGUGGGGGUUGGAAAGUUUCGGCGGUUGGGGAUGGACUCGCGGCUUAUCAGCUUGUUGGUGGGGUAGUGGCUUACCAAGGCUUUGACGGGUAGCCGGCCUGAGAGGGUGACCGGCCACAUUGGGACUGAGAUACGGCCCAGACUCCUACGGGAGGCAGCAGUGGGGAAUAUUGCACAAUGGGCGGAAGCCUGAUGCAGCAACGCCGCGCGCGGGAUGACGGCCUUCGGGUUGUAAACCGCUUUCGCCUGUGACGAAGCGUGAGUGACGGUAAUGGGUAAAGAAGCACCGGCUAACUACGUGCCAGCAGCCGCGGUGAUACGUAGGGUGCGAGCGUUGUCCGGAUUUAUUGGGCGUAAAGGGCUCGUAGGUGGUUGAUCGCGUCGGAAGUGUAAUCUUGGGGCUUAACCCUGAGCGUGCUUUCGAUACGGGUUGACUUGAGGAAGGUAGGGGAGAAUGGAAUUCCUGGUGGAGCGGUGGAAUGCGCAGAUAUCAGGAGGAACACCAGUGGCGAAGGCGGUUCUCUGGGCCUUUCCUGACGCUGAGGAGCGAAAGCGUGGGGAGCGAACAGGCUUAGAUACCCUGGUAGUCCACGCUGUAAACGGUGGGUACUAGGUGUGGGGUCCAUUCCACGGGUUCCGUGCCGUAGCUAACGCUUUAAGUACCCCGCCUGGGGAGUACGGCCGCAAGGCUAAAACUCAAAGGAAUUGACGGGGCCCCGCACAAGCGGCGGAGCAUGCGGAUUAAUUCGAUGCAACGCGUAGAACCUUACCUGGGUUUGACAUGGAUCGGGAGUGCUCAGAGAUGGGUGUGCCUCUUUUGGGGUCGGUUCACAGGUGGUGCAUGGCUGUCGUCAGCUCGUGUCGUGAGAUGUUGGGUUAAGUCCCGCAACGAGCGCAACCCUUGUUCACUGUUGCCAGCACGUUAUGGUGGGGACUCAGUGGAGACCGCCGGGGUCAACUCGGAGGAAGGUGGGGAUGACGUCAAGUCAUCAUGCCCCUUAUGUCCAGGGCUUCACGCAUGCUACAAUGGCUGGUACAGAGAGUGGCGAGCCUGUGAGGGUGAGCGAAUCUCGGAAAGCCGGUCUCAGUUCGGAUUGGGGUCUGCAACUCGACCUCAUGAAGUCGGAGUCGCUAGUAAUCGCAGAUCAGCAACGCUGCGGUGAAUACGUUCCCGGGGC